UUAGCAGCUUAUGAGAGUUUGUUUUCUUUUUGCAACCGACAAUUUUUUCGUGGUGUAAAGUUAAUUGAUUGAAGAGUUUUAUAGGAUUGCGAUAAUCAAAUGAUAGCAUCAUAAAAUUGCAAUAUGGCUUGCCGUGUACCGGGUUGCGCUACAAAGGCUCGGCAUAAGUUAAAACGACAUCGACUCUUUAAAGCUAUCACUGAGGUGCAGUUGGAAGACUGGCAAGCGAUCUUGUUGCGUUUCGGUGUAGAUAAUUUCACUGAAAAUGACAUGAUUUGUAUUCUUCAUUUCAAAGAAACUGACAUUGAGCUAGAACGUACAGUGUAUAAGUUUGGUGGCGAAGCCUUCCAAGUACUCCUUAAACGUCCUGCACUGCGCCAUAAUGCGGUUCCAACAAUUUUUAAAUCAAAUAGUCUCACAAAUGAAAAGAACAGGAAAUUCAACUAUGCACAAAAACUAAACUGCGAGACUAUCGCCGAACAGAAGAGAAUAUUUGAAGCUGCACAGAGAUUAGAAUAUGAGACUGUUGUCAAACAAAAGGUAAUUCCUCAAGCUGCAAAAGAGAAGACGAUAAAAGAGGAGCCUUUACAAGAGGUUCUAAUAAAAGAGGAGCCUCUAGAAGAGAUGCCAAUAAUGGAGGAACCUAUACAAGAGAUUUCAAUAAAAGAGGAACCUGUACAAGAGAUUUCAAUAAAAGAGGAACCUUUACAAGAGAUUUCAAUAAAAGAGGAGCCUAUACAAGAGAUGCCAGUAAAAGAGAAGUCAAUGAAAAGGGCCGUAAAACGAAAAGAAUCGAGUGACUUUAUGGGUGAUGAAGAUUCUGUUGUGAAUACAAAGUUCAUAAAAUCAAAUAACAUUUUCCAAGAACUUCUGAGGGCAGUAGGUAAUAAUGAAAAACUACCCUAUUUUUUGGGUAAAGCCAGGAUAGGUAAUGUUUCAGAGAGAAACUGCAUAAGGUGGUCUGUCUGGAAGGAAGAUCUAUCUAGUGAAGAGAAAGUGAUAACUUUGUUCGAGGACCUGACAGUAAAUGUGUUCGCAUACGGAAAAAACAUUGUUUUGUCGAAGUUUAAGAGUGUAGUAGACUGGAGAGAUCUGCGUAAUUUGUUUAGGGAAGUUGUCCGCGUUUUACCCUGCAUGAAAUCAGACUGUCAGUCAAAGGAGGCAAGGGACGCUUGUCUUGGUUUUGUAACUGAAAGUGAUGGACGACCAGUUCUCCGAUGUGCUCCAUGCAAAAAAAAUCAAAGAAAGUAUAAAAGAAAGAUUUUAUCAAAAGUAAAAAAAACGGGAUAUUCAAAGAGACGAAAAAGAAUCUAAGUAUAAAGUGCAGUAAGCUUCAUUGUAAGACCAAACAUAUGAAAGAGUAGAUCAAAAAACAGAAAUUAACUGUAAAAUAUAUAAGACGAAAGUGUGCUCAAGCAAUUGAAAGUUCCUUGGAAAACGCAAUUUCACAAUUAUUCAUUGAACAGGUUUCUGUGCGAACAGUUACAAAAAAAAA